UGGGGAAUAUUGGACAAUGGGCGAAAGCCUGAUCCAGCCAUGCCGCGUGUGUGAAGAAGGUCUUCGGAUUGUAAAGCACUUUAAGUUGGGAGGAAGGGCAGUAAGCGAAUACCUUGCUGUUUUGACGUUACCGACAGAAUAAGCACCGGCUAACUCUGUGCCAGCAGCCGCGGGAAUACAGAGGGUGCAAGCGUUAAUCGGAAUUACUGGGCGUAAAGCGCGCGUAGGUGGUUCGUUAAGUUGAAUGUGAAAGCCCCGGGCUCAACCUGGGAACUGCAUCCAAAACUGGCGAGCUAGAGUAGGGCAGAGGGUGGUGGAAUUUCCUGUGUAGCGGUGAAAUGCGUAGAUAUAGGAAGGAACACCAGUGGCGAAGGCGACCACCUGGGCUCAUACUGACACUGAGGUGCGAAAGCGUGGGGAGCAAACAGG
rnacentral:rRNA from 1 species